rnacentral:lncRNA from 1 species
ACGUAAGAAGAAAAGUUCUGAUGUUCAUCCAUCCUCUCCCAUGCUUAACUAAACUCAAGCCUUAACACGCCCAUAGAACUUGGACUUCUCCUGUGUUGUCUGGAAUCUACCAUGGCCAAACUUGGAGGAUGUAUCAAUAAACUUGAGCUUAAUCUCCUCCAAAGCAACCCUAGAUGUCUGGUUCAACAAUGAUUGUCUCAAGGUCACAACUCUCUUCUUUGGUCCCACGCAGCAUCCUUUUAUCAUCAAAUAAUCUUCCUUCACCACACCAUAAUGGGGGAAUCCUCCCAUUGGAGUGAUAUCCUUUUCAGUCCUGUUAUUUGUGAAACAGAUUAGCCAAUUUCGAUGGGGCAAAUUUACAAUAACAACAAUAACCUCCUACGAAUUGCUAGAUCAAGACGAAUGAUAUUAAUAUAGGACAGUGAAAAAAAGGCAUUAAGAAUGUUAACCUGUCAUAUUCAGUAAUUGCAGUAUGAGAAUCUUGGCCACUCUUCCCAAGCUUGUAGAUUUUCUUGUUCAUCUCAGUACGGUGAUGGUAACCAUUCUGUCCAGCCCUAGCAACAGUAAAUGACACCCUAGCUGGAUGCCAAGCACCAAUACAUGCCACCUUCCUUAGACCACGAUGGGUCUUGCGGGGCAGGCGGGUCACACCCCAACGAGUAACCACACCUUCAUAUCCCUUACCCUUGGUUACACCAAUAAUAUCAAUCAUCUCAUCCUUUUGGAAAACAGCAUCAAUAGGUAUCUGCUUCUCAAAGAAACUGUAUGCAAAAUCAACCUUCUUGGCAACAUCCCCACCAUUUACUUGAAUCUCCAUCAGAUGGGCUUUCUUCUGCUUCAACCCUUUCAUCUUUCUUAUCUGCAGAGUCAAUAGUGCAGCAAAUGUGAAGAGUUAAAGAUUAAAGAAGAGCACAUACAAGUUGUACUCAGAAGACCAAAACUGUGAAUCUAUACAAGGAUCAGCAAUCCAGCAGUCUUAAGGUGCUACUAAAUUGAUGAGUAAUUAUAUCUCAUUAGCAGAACUGAAUACACAAGGGAAAAGUGAAAGUAAUUUACCUGGGUGUGCGCCAAGACUCGAAUGACCGAACAAUGCUUCUUCAGUUUCUCCAAUUGAGCUUGAAUAUCUUUCUUCCCAUCCUCAGAUUCAAACUUUUUAGAGUACUUGGUGAAUGCCUUCUUCUUCGACUUGCACCAGUUCUUGUAGAAUCUCCUCCUCACAUCCUCACUCAAAUGCUGGGCCCAGACAGUGUUCAGUGAACGGAGACCACGGGGUGUUUUCAUAUAACCCACAACCCCAACCACCACCAUAGGUGGUGUCUCUACGAUAGUAACAGCCUCACAUGUUUCUUUCUUGUGGAGCUUUGACCCUGGCUUUUCAACUUCUCUGACAAUGUGGGUCAUCCCUGCUUUGUAACCCAGAAAAGCAGUCAAUCUGCAAGGUUUUGUUGGAUCAUCUUUGGGGAACGCCUUCACUGUAAACAUCACAUAAAAGCGUUAAAAAAAAAUCAACAAUUGCACAACACUAACCAAUAUGCAAAUUGCAAAAAUAGUCAAUAUAAACAACUCACAAGUGAGUAAGAAAUCAACAUUAACAAAUAUUGAAAUAAUUUAAUUGCAAGGCACUGAAAAAAAUCAAUGCAAACACUAAAACUAAGGAAGCAACAUAGGAAGAUGACACUCUUUAUGAAAACAAAAAAAAUUCUUGUAUUAAAAUCUAGAACUGCUAGGAAAUGCGAAUAAUUCAUUUAUAAUAACAAACCAACUACCAAGGCUAGGCAUAGGCCAUCUAUCUACCCACAACUCAUGCAGCAUAGAAAAGAGGCCAUUAUUGAAAUAUCAAGGACCUAUUUACUUGUAGAAAACAGUUUUUCUUUUCAACCUUCGAAGAAUUAGAAGACUAUAGUUUUCUUUUUAUAAAGAAAACAAAGGAAAAGAUGGAAAGCAAGUUCAAUAGUGAAUGAUAGAAAAUAGUUAUGUAUUUUAAAAAUUUUUAAGAAUUAUUUGUAUCCAUUCGUAAUAAAAAAAAAAGUCAUGAUAAAUAUAUUUUAGAUCUAUUUUUUAAUUGUGUCAAUUGUUUUAUCUUAUAAUAAUAUAGUUAGUUCUCAUUACUGUAAAUAAAUGUUUUUUCCCAACUUAAUGAUGAAAAGUUAUAGAAUAAUUUGAGUCAUUAGAGGAGAACAGUUGAAAAUAGAACUUUUGUUAUAAAGAAAAAUAAUGAGGAAAAAACAUAAAGCUGAUUUCCAAAUCUUAGUCAAGUUUUGGAAAAUUGAAAAACAAAAUUUUCAAUUCUCAGAUUGGAAAAUUGAUACAUAUGCACACAAAACUUUAUUUUCCAAUUUACUUAGAACAUUAUUCCCAAAAAUUACUCCAGUUUUCUACAAGUAAGAAAGUACAAAAAGUCCUGAGAUUUUUCAUGCCAAGGAAGAAAUGACAUACAAACGGACAAACCAUACAUGAAUUUAUUUUAUCAAAAGCCCUAUUUUUACAUCCAAAAAACCGAAGACAACCUUAACUAUAGAGGAGUUAGCUAAUACUAAAAAACCACCAUAAUAUGAUCAAAACUAAACAAAAAGCAAUUUAGGCAACAUCAAUUACUGAUAAUGAAAACAAUCAAUGCAUGACUUCAAAAAAAUCAACCAAUGCACAUUAUGUAAGGCCAAAUAUAAAUUUAAAAAGCUUCAGCAAUAAUGAGAUUAAAACAAGAAUUAGAAACCUUUUCCUCUGUGGCGCGAGGCUCUCUUCCUUGGAAGAAAUCCCAAAGAACCAUGCCGGGGGUGUUCAAACUUGCGAUGAGACAUGCUUCAACUUCAGGGUACCACUGCAACACUAUGAAUUUCAAACUUAUUUUCCUUGAAAAAGGCAGAAAAUUCACAACAACAGAAAGCAACAAAUUUUCAAAUGAUAUUUGGUUAAUCUCAAAUGCUACUACUUAUCAAUCUGCGUGUGUAUAAAACCAGAGAAACACUAUUCUCUCCAAGUGAAAAGGAUUAAAGAGGUAUUAUCCCAUAAAGGAGCUGAAAAUUGAGAUAAAGUUUCUGGAUAAAAGCAUAAUGACUAAAACACAGAUACAAAUUAAUAGAAACAUUCAAGUUUCAAUUAAAAAUAAUAAACAUUCUCAAAAAGAAGGGUAAGUUUUAAUAUUUAACAAUUAAUUUAUUAAAAAAAUACACAAUUGACAAUUUCAUUGAAAUACUAUGUAGUCAGACAAAAGUUUCUUGUAUUUGGAUCAGAUAAGGAAAAGUAAAAUCGUAAAUAAUCAAGAGAAACCAUCACAUUAAUUAAACCUGAUUGGAAGCCUCAAAACGGUUCUUUAUUCAACUUUAAAAAUCACUUAANNNNNNNNNNNNNNNNNNNNNNNNNNNNNNNNNNNNNNNNNNNNNGCCAUCAAAAUGCUACAAAGCCAAAAGGUCAUACAAUUUCAUUACUCAAUAAUCACGAAUUUCUUUUCUAGAAAAAAUGAAAUUAUAUCAACCCUUGACCUCUAAGCAUUUGAUAUCAACACCAAACCUUAAUAAGUGAAAUGAAAUGCUUCCCAACCAAAGGCCUAUGGCAUAAAAAUUAUGCCAAAUCUCAAAGCUCAGUGGUAUUCCUUUUCAAAUACCAAUUCAUGGUAUCGGCAAAAAGAGCCAUUUCCGAGACUCCAGCCUUGAUUAUUUCAGCAAUUCUCUUAUAAAGGGAAGUCGUUUCAAAAUCACCACCACGCAAGGCGCAAUAUCAAAAUGUUUAUCAGGACAAGAGCAUUAAAAGAACCUUUAAAAAACCUCCAAAACAUCUAUUUACAAAAGAGUAAAACAAGCAGAACCCAACUCCUUCCAGAACCAAGUAGAGAUCUAAGCUAAUCAAAUAUUGAAUCAAAAAGCGCAAACCAUUAUGAAUAAAUGACAGAAAUUGUAAGGUAUUACCUCCCGAGGAGAUCACUGGACGUACUGUGUGCCGAUAAGAACCCUAGAAAGGUUUAGCUAGGCAUUUAUAUCGUUCUCGAGGUCAGAUCCAACGGCUGCAAUUAGCAUCCAAUGGGUAUUAUUGUCCGUUGGAUGGUUAGGGUUGGGGUUUUGCAAGAAGCGCCGCGGAUCCAGCAGCUAUGGAAAAUAGUAAAUGGGCUAAGAAUAUUCAAAGUUGGGCUGAUUUGUUUUUUGGUUAGUGACUUUUAAGUUAAGUUUGGGUUCUGAGCAAAUUUUAAAAUGGUAUUUAGAAAUUGAAAACGUAAAUCAUAAAAUACUAUUUAUUUUAAUUUUGAAUAAAAAUUAUCUAUCAAAUAUUAAAAUAAUUAGUAACUAUUAAAACAUGUAAUAUUACUAGACAUUAUUUUGAAAAUAAUUUUUUUUAUAACAAUUAUAUAACCUUCAUGUGUAUAGAUGUAAAUAAUUUUUAUCAAAAUAAGAAAUUAAAUUUAUGGGAUAAAUUAUAGUUAAUCAAACUUUAUAAUUUUUUAAUUUUGUUAUAUAUAUUUAUGGUGUCCAAUAAAAAAUGUUAAAUUUUUAUUAAUUAGACAAAUAAAAAAUGUAAGGAUCUUUCUUCUUUUCUCGAAUGUGAGUUCUAUCCUUCCUUUGCCUCUAAGAGUGAGACACAUUUUUUUAGCUACUUUUACUCGGUGAAUUUAAAAAUUAGAAAGAAAUUAUAUUUUUUCUAUAUGCAUAUUUGGAUCUUUGUUGGUUUUCUCCUAUAUUUGCUUGGGUGGUUCAUAAUGUUCUAUUUGGACACUUUAUUUUUAGAGGAAACUCUUUUCCUUUAGAGGAAACUCUUUUCCUUUAGAGGACAUAGCCCCUUCCUUCGGGGGAGUUAUGUUUUUUGUGCUCAAUUAUUAUUUUUUUGUAGUUCUUGGUCUAAAUACUCUAAAAUCUAUUAAUAAAAUUAUUUUUUUUAAAAAAUAAGUUUUACCCUCCUUUCAGAUUCAAGCUUACUCAAUCAUGGAAAUAGCCUCUCUCAUUUCCAUCGAAUUUAGGGUACUCUGAUGCUCGGAAUGGAGGUCGUUUAUCGCAUCAUCACUAGCUCAUCCUCUCCUGAAGACCUAAAACAAUCUAUAAAUUCAAGUGGGAUUUUUCUCGAUAACAAUUUGAUCGAUAAAGUUCUCAAAAGGUUCAGGUUUGGUCAUGGGAAACCCUUGCAAGCACUUGAGCUCUUUAAAUUCACUGCCAAUAGAAAAGGGUUUUAUCACACUCCGAAUUCGUUAGAUACCAUGCUUUAUAUAUGGGCAAAGUCGUCAAUUUGAUCAUAUUUGGGAUGUUUUGAUUAAAAUGAAGAGGAAAGACCCGUCUUUGAUUUCCUCACGAACUAUGCAAGUGGUUUUGGGUAGACUGUGGAAUCUUUUAGAAUGUUCAAGAAGUUGGUUCCUGUGUUUGAUACCAGUUCUUUCAAUGCACUGUUGAGACCCUGUGUUUUCUUUAACAAAGGAAUGAUGAUCCAACCAAUGCACACGCCCCUGGAAUACCGCAGGGCAUAGAGCUCCCUACUUUCUUCUAAUACAAAAGCUACUUCCGACUGGUUUGUUCUUGGAGAAGGAGCUGGUUUUGCUCCUCUUAGAAGAGCUAGAACAUGCUAAGGUAUACCAGCUUUAGGUCAGCUUUUUCUAUUUGUUUUCUUUGAGAGGGGUUUGUUUCCCUUAUGUAUGGUCAAAUGCUGAGAUAACAGAGAAGAGGAGCAAAGAUUUACCCAGAAUUCCUAGGUGGAAGCUUCACAAGGGUAGCCCAAGUAUUUCUGUAGGUUGAAUUUCACAAAUAUGAUGGGCUUUAUGAGUUUUUUAUUUAUUGUAUUCAGGCCUUGAAAAAAAAAAAUAAAUAUCUAACAAUGAACUUUAAAAACUCGCAUCUCAUCCAAAAAGGUUCAGUAAUAAUUAAAGCAGCAGAUGCAGUCACUAAGCAAACCAACAGCAUAAGCACACCUCAAAAGGUUCAAACACUAGGAGAAAAACAAAUUCUCAAACGUAAGAAGAAAAGUUUUGAUGUUCAUCCAUCCUCUCCCAUGCUUAACUAAACUCAAGCCUUAACACGCCCAUAGAACUUGGACUUCUCCUGUGUUGUCUGGAAUCUUCCAUGGCCAAACUUGGAGGAUGUAUCAAUGAACUUGAGCUUAAUCUCCUCCAAAGCAACCCUAGAUGUCUGGUUCAACAAUGAUUGUCUCAAGGUCACAACUCUCUUCUUUGGUCCCACGCAGCAUCCUUUUAUCAUCAAAUAAUCUUCCUUCACCACACCAUAAUGGGGGAAUCCUCCCAUUGGAGUGAUAUCCUUUUCAGUCCUGUUAUUUGUGAAACAGAUUAGCCAAUUUCGAUGGGGCAAAUUUACAAUAACAACAAUAACCUCCUACGAAUUGCUCGAUCAAGAAGAAUGAUAUUAAUAUAGGACAGUGAAAAAAAAGCAUUAAGAAUGUUAACCUGUCAUAUUCAGUAAUUGCAGUAUGAGACUCUUGGCCACUCUUCCCAAGCUUGUAGAUUUUCUUGUUCAUCUCAGUACGGUGAUGAUAACCAUUCUGUCCAGCCCUAGCAACAGUAAAUGACACCCUAGCUGGAUGCCAAGCACCAAUACAUGCCACCUUCCUUAGACCACGAUGGGUCUUGCGGGGCAGACGGGUCACACCCCAACGAGUAACCACACCUUCAUAUCCCUUACCCUUGGUUACACCAAUAAUAUCUAUCAUCUCAUCCUUUUGGAAAACAGCAUCAAUAGGGAUCUGCUUCUCAAAGAAACUGUAGGCAAAGUCGACCUUCUUGGCAAUAUCCCCACCAUUCACCUGAAUCUCCAUUAGAUGGGCUUUCUUCUGCUUCAACCCUUUCAUCUUUCUUAUCUGCAGAGUCAAUAGUGCAGCAAAUGUGAAGAGUUAAGGAUUAAAGAAGAGCACAUACAAGUUGUACAUGAAAGAACAGAAUCAUGAAUCUAUUGAGGAUCAGAAAUCCAGCAGAGCCUUAAAGUGCUACUAAAUUAUUGAGUGAUGAUAUCUCAUUCACAAAUACAGAAAUGAAUGCACAAGGGAAAAGUGGAAGUAAUUUACCUGGGUGUGCGCCAAGACCCGAAUGACGGAACAAUGCUUCUUCAGUUUCUCCAAUUGAGCUUGAAUAUCUUUCUUCCCAUCUUCAGAUUCAAACUUCUUAGAGUACUUGGUGAAUGCCUUCUUUUUGGACUUGCACCAGUUCUUGUAGAAUCUCCUCCUCACAUCCUCACUCAAAUGCUGGGCCCAGACAGUGUUCAGUGAACGGAGACCACGGGGUGUUUUCAUAUAACCCACAACCCCAACCACCACCAUGGGUGGUGUCUCUACGAUAGUAACAGCUUCACAUGUUUCUUUCUUGUGGAGCUUUGACCCUGGCUUUUCAACUUCUCUGACAAUGUGGGUCAUCCCUGCUUUGUAACCCAGAAAAGCAGUCAAUCUGCAAGGUUUUGUUGGAUCAUCUUUGGGGAAUGCCUUCACUGUAAACAUCACAGAAAAGCGUAAAAAAAAUCAACAAUUGCACAACACUAACCAAUAUGCAAAUUGCAAAAAUAGUCAAUAUAAACAACUCACAAGUGAGUAAUAAAUCAACAUUAACAAAUACUGACAUAAAUUUAAUUGCAAGGCACUGAAACAAAUCAAUGCAAACACUAAAACUAAGGAAGCAACAUAGUAAGAUGACACUCUUUAUGAAAACAAAAAAAUGCUUGUAUUAAAAUCUAGAACUGUUAGGAAGUGCGAAUAAUUCAUUUAUAAUAACAAACCAACUACCAAGGCUAGGCAUAGGCCAUCUAUCUACCCACAACUCAUGCAGUCAGAAAAGAGGUUAUUAUUGAAAUAUCAAGGACCUAUUUACUUGUAGAAAACAGUUUUUCUUUUCAACCUUCGAAGAAUUAGAAGACUGUAGUUUUCAUUUUAUAAAGAAAACAAAGGAAAAGAUGGAAAGCAAGUUCAAUUGUGUAUGACAGAAAAUAGUUUUGUAUCUUAAAAAUUUUUUAAAAAUUAUUUGUAUCCAUUCGUAAUAGAAAGAGUCAUGAUAAAUAUAUUUUACAUCUAUUUUUUUAAAUGUGUCAAUUGUUUUAUCUUAUAAUAAUAUAGUUAGUUUUCAUUACUGUAAAUAAAUGUUUUUUCCAAACUUAAUGAUUAAAAGUUAUAGAAUAAUUUUAGUCAUUAGAGGAAAACAGUUGAAAAUAGAACUUUUGUUAUAAAGAAAAAUAACGAGGAAAAAACAUAAAGCUGAUUUCCAAAUCUUAGUUAAGUUUAGAAAAUUGAAAAACAAAAUUUUCAAUUCUCAGAUUGGAAAAUUGAUACAUAUGCACACAAAACUUUAUUUUCCAAUUUACUUAGAACAUUAUUCCCAAAAAUUACUCCAGUUUUCUACAAGUGAGAAAGUACAAAAAGUCCUGAGAUUUUUCAUGCCAAGGAAGAAAUGACAUACAAAAGGACAAACUAUACAUGAAUUUCUUUAAUCAAAAGCCCUAUUUUUACAUCCAAAAAACAGAAGACAACAUUAACCAUAGAGUUCGCUAAUACUAAAAAAACACCAUAAUAUGAUCAAAACUAAACAAGAAGCAAUUUAGGCAACAUCGAUUACUGAUAAUGAAAACAAUCAAUGCAUGACUUCAAAAAAAUCAACGAAUGCAUAUUAUGUAAGGCCAAAUAUAAAUUUAAAAAGCUUCAGCAAUAAUGAGAUUAAAACAAGAAUUAGAAACCUUUUCCUCUGUGGCGCGAGGCUCUCUUCCUUGGAAGAAAUCCCAAAGAACCAUGCCGGGGGUGUUCAAACUUGCGAUGAGACAUGCUUCAACUUCAGGGUACAACUGCAACACUCUAUGAAUUUCAAACUUAUUUUCCUUGAAAAAGGCAGAAAAUUCACAACAACAGAAAGCAACAAAUUUUCAAAUGAUAUUUGGUUAAUCUCAAAUGCUACUGCUUAUCAAUCUGUGUGUAUAAAACCAGAGAAACACUAUUCUCUCCAAGUGAAAAGGAUUAAAACAGGUAUUAUCCCAUAAAGGAGCUGAAAAUUGAGAUAUAGUUUCUGGAUAAAAUCAUAAUGACUAAAACACAGAUACAAAUUAAGAGAAACAUUCAAGUCAAUUAAAAAUAAUAAACAUUCUCAAAAAGAAGGGUAAGUUUUAAUAUUUAACAAUUACUUUAUUAAAAAAUACACAAUUGACAAUUUCAUUGAAAUACUGUGUAGUCAGACAAAAGUUUCUUGUAUUUGGAUAAGAUAAGGAAAAGUAAAAUCGUAAAUAAUCAAGAGAAACCAUCAGAUUAAUUAAACCUGAUUGGAAACCUCAAAACGGUUCAUUAUUCAACUUUAAAAAUCAAUUAAAAAAAUUUUUGAAAAAAAAGACUCAGCCAUCAAAAUGCUACAAAACCAAAAGGUCAUACAAUUUCAUCACUCAAUAAUCACGAAUUUCUUUUCUAGAAAAAAUGAAAUUAUAUCAACCCUUGACCUCUAAGCAUUUGAUAUCAACACCAAACCUUAAUAAGUGAAAUGAAAUGCUUCCCAACCAAAGGCCUAUGGCAUAAAAAUUAUGCCAAAUCUCAAAGCUCAGUGGUAUUCCAUUUCAAAUACCAAUUCAUGGUAUCGGCAAAAAGAGCCAUUUCCGAGACCCCAGCCUUGAUUAUUUCAGCAAUUCUCUUAUAAAGGGAAGUCAUUUCAAAAUCACCACCAGGCAAGAUUAUCAGGACAAGAGCAUUAAAAGAACCUUUAAAAAACCUCCAAAACAUCUAUUUACAAAAGAGUAAAACAAGCAGAACCCAACUCCUUCCAGAACCAAGUAGAGAUCUAAGCUAAUCAAAUAUUGAAUCAAAAAAAGCAAACCAAGUAGAGAUCUAAGCUAGAAGUUUAAUUAUCAUGUAUGUUUAUGAAUCAAUGACAGGAAUUGUAAGGUAUUACCUCCCGAUGAGGAGAUCACUGGACGUACUGUGUGCCGAUAAGAACCCUAGAGAGGUUUAGCUAGACAUUUAUAUCGUUCUCGAGAUGAGAUCCAACGGCUGUAAUUAGCAUCCAAUGGGUAUUAUCGUUGGAUGGUUAGGGUUAGCGUUUUGCAAGAAGAGCCGCCGAUCCAGCAGCUAUGGAAACUAGUAAAUGGGCUAAGAAUAGAGAAAGCCGACUACAUCCAGUCCAAUAUUCAAAGGUGGGCUGAGUUGUUUUUUGGUUAGUAACUUUUAAGUUUGGGUUCUGAGAAAAUUUUAAAAUGGUAUUUAGAAAUUGAAAACGUAAAUCAUAAAAUACUAUUUUUUUUAAUUUUGAGUAAAAAUUAUCUAUCAAAUAUUAAAAUAAUUAGUAACUAUUAAAACAUGUAAUAUUACUAGACAUUAUUUUGUAAAUAAUUUUUUUAUAAAUGUAAAUAAUGUUAUCAAAAUAAGAAAUUAAAUUUAUGGGAUAAAUUAUAGUUAAUCAAACUUUACCAUUUUUCUAAUUUUGUUAUAUAUAAUUAUGGUGCCCAAUAAAAAAUGUUAAAUUUCUAUUAAUUAGACAAAUAAAUCUAACCGUGGUUUUAUUUUUUUUUUUUUUUAAAUAAAGAUUCUCUCUCCAAAUUCCUUUCUUAAGUUUUAACUUAAAUUCAUUUGCUGCCUCCUGUGCGGGUGAGCAGUAUUCGGUUCAAAUCGAAAAAAUUGAUCGAACCGAACUGAUUUAAAAUUUUAGUUCGGUUUUUUAUAUAUUUUGGUUCAGUUUGGUUUUUAAUUUUAGAAAUUUCGGUUAUUUCAAUUCGGUUCGAUUUUAAUUAAAAAAAAAUCGAAAAAACCGAAUCAAACCGAUUAGUAAUAAUAAUAUAUUUUUUCAAUAAUAUAGAGAAAUUAAAUCAUAUUAAAAUUAAAAUAUUUUAAUUAAAUUUUAAAAUAUUAAAAAUAAAAUGUAAAAAAUAAAAAAAUUAUUAAAAAUCGAAACUGAUCAAACCGAACCGAAUCGAACCGAAUCAUACCGGUUUGGUUCGAUUCGAUUUCUAAUCAAAAUCGGUUCGGUUCGAUUUUCAUAAAUACUAAAAUUUCGGUUUCGGUUUAUUCGAUUCGGUUCGAUUUUGAACCGAACUGACCGAAUGCUCACCCCUACUCCUGUGGUUUAUCAUAUCUCUGCAUGUAAGAGGAUCCUUCUACCCUUCCUUUGCCUCUAAGGGUAAGAGAGACCUCUUUUCUUUUUUGAAUAUAGUUUCUAUUUUCUCCCAUCCGAUUGGAUUGUAGAUAAUCCUUUUAACUAUUUUUACUCGGUUGUAUUUAAGCAUUCGAAAGAGAUCAUAUAUUUUUUAUAUGCAUAUUUGAAUCUUUGUGGGUUUUUCUCCUCUUUGCUUGUCUCUUUCAUAAUGUUCUAUUUGUAUACUUUAUUUUUAAAGUAAACUCCUUUACUUUAGAGGACAUGCCCCUUCUUUAGCAUGAAUUAUAUUUUUUGUGUCUAAUUGUUAUUUUUUUUGCGAUUGUUGGUCUAAAGAUUCUAAAUUACUCUUUGAUGAUUAUCAUUCGAUAGAGGGGGCAAGAAACAAAAUAAUAGUUGUAUCUAGCACAUGCUCGUAAACAGUUUAGAAAGCAGGAAUGAGAUGACAAAUAAUGAUACCACCUUUAUUCAUUGCCAACACAUAAUAGAUGUAGAGUUUCUAUAUGGUUCGGUACUCAAUGGUUUUCUCUUUAUCUUUCUUCGAAUAUUUUUUAUUUCUUUACUUUUUUUUAUUUUUCACAUUUAAAUUUAUCAAUAUCAACAUCUCAAUAAAUAGCUAGCUUAGUAUAGUUAGGGUUAUAUAAUUUUUUUUCAGUAGGAUAGGCUUGCUUGUAAUGGGAUUGUGUUUUACAUGUAUGAAAGAAUAAAUAUCAAAUACUUAAAUUUUUAAAAAAUUUAUUAAUUUAUUUAUAUUUUAAAAUUAUUCAAUUAAAAUAUCUUUAUAUUUUACAUAAUCAAACUCUUGUAAUUUUUAUGUUACUUUACAAGAUUUAUUUUAAAUUUGAUCAGAAAAAUUAAAUAGUAUGAAUAUUUCAAAUUAUAAAAAUUAAAUAAUACAUAUAAUUAAAAUUAUAAAAACCAACCAAAACAAUUAUUCCAGGUAGGUUGCUAAUGUUUUUUUUUUUUAACAGAAAAAAAAAUUUAUAUUUUACAAAAUAUAAAAAUAAUUUAAUGGAGUGAUUUGAAAAUAAAAACAAACUAGUUUAUUUAAUAAAAUUUCAGGGAUUACAUAAUAAUUUAGCCUAGAUGUAUUUGGGAUGGGUUUGGACCAAGCAAUAUUGUUUUUUCUUUUUAGUCAUAGCCUAUCUGAGGGCCCUCAACUAGAAAAUGAAAUUGCAUUAAUAAAAUUAAUUUGGUUGGACUCAAUUAAAUUUGAUAUAUUGGCUUGGAUUAAUUAUAAAUUCAGUUUCAGUUAUGUUUCUCAAUAUUAACUUUAAUUUGAAACUUAAUUACAAUUAAUUAAAAAGUUAAACUAUUCUAUUGGCUCCUUUCUAGAUUACCUCAGCUUGAUACGGUCUUUUGCCCAGAAAUGCAAGAAAUCUAGAAUGUUUACUUCUAGAUGAUGUGCAAGUCCAUUAGUUCUUUUGGGUCGGAUCUAGAGAAUCCAAUCAGGAUUAAUGUUUUCUGGGUGGAAUUUACAUUUGAGUUGUCUUUUACUGGAACCAAAUCAUUGUACUUUUAGGCCAUAGUUAAUGAUAUUUCAAUCCAAAAUUUGAUACUAAAUUCACAUUGAUUUCACACAUCUCAAAAACCAUAAAGAUGACCUUGACAUAAUACUUAUUAAUAAAUUCGAUUAUUAUAUGGGCAAUCUAUUAACAGAAAAUGGACAUUAAACUGAAAAGCAUCGAACAGAAGUAAUACAAAUACCAUAUGCAUUGCAUUUUGUGCUCAAGCAGACACUUGAAAGCUAAUGAUCUGGAUUAGGAAUACUAUUACUUCAUACAUGCUUCCAUUCAGUCAUCAAGCAAACUGGCUUUGUUAAUGGUACCUCAAAUCAUCAAUGUCAUGCCCUUUGAGAGCAAAAUGGAGCACUGAAAUCAAUGGCAUUCAGAUAUAUAAAUAGCAGUAAAUAAUUUAAUAAGGAAAGCUCCAAACAGGUUCAGUAAUAAUUGAAGCAACAAAACUACAGUCACCAACAAAAACCAACAGAGUAAUCCAACUCAAAAAUUUCAAACACUAGGAGAAAAAGUUGUGAUGUUUAUUUAUCCUCUCCCAUGCUUAGCUAAACUCAAGCCUUAACCCGCCCAUAGAACUUUGCCUUCUCCUGUGUUGUCUGGAAUCUACCAUGGCCAAACUUGGAGGAUGUAUCAAUGAACUUGAGCUUAAUCUCCUCCAAAGCAACCCUAGAUGUCUGGUUCAACAAUGAUUGUCUCAAGGUCACAACUCUCUUCUUUGGUCCCACGCAGCAUCCUUUUAUCAUCAAAUAAUCUUCCUUCACCACACCAUAGUGGGGGAACCCUCCCAUUGGUGUGAUAUCCUUUUCA